rnacentral:rRNA from 1 species
GAUGAACGCUGGCGGCGUGCCUAAUACAUGCAAGUCGAGCGAACGGACGAGAAGCUUGCUUCUCUGAUGUUAGCGGCGGACGGGUGAGUAACACGUGGAUAACCUACCUAUAAGACUGGGAUAACUUCGGGAAACCGGAGCUAAUACCGGAUAAUAUUUUGAACCGCAUGGUUCAAAAGUGAAAGACGGUCUUGCUGUCACUUAUAGAUGGAUCCGCGCUGCAUUAGCUAGUUGGUAAGGUAACGGCUUACCAAGGCAACGAUGCAUAGCCGACCUGAGAGGGUGAUCGGCCACACUGGAACUGAGACGCGGACAAGACACCUACGGGAGGCAGCAGAAGGGAAUCUUCCGCAAUGGGCGAAAGCCUGACGGAGCAACGCCGCGUGAGUGAUGAAGGUCUUCGGAUCGUAAAACUCUGUUAUUAGGGAAGAACAGAUGUGUAAGUAACUGUGCACAUCUUGACGGUACCUAAUCAGAAAGCCACGGCUAACUACGUG